rnacentral:rRNA from 1 species
UACAGAGGGUGCGAGCGUUGUCCGGAAUCACUGGGCGUAAAGGGCGCGUAGGUGGCGCGACAAGUCAGUGGUGAAAGUUCGACGCUCAACGUCGAAUCGGCCACUGAUACUGUUGGGCUUGAGCACUGUAGAGGCUAAUGGAAUUCCGGGUGUAGCGGUGGAAUGCGUAGAGAUCCGGAAGAACACCGGUGGCGAAGGCGGUGAGCUGGGCAGUAGCUGACACUGAGGCGCGACAGCGUGGGGGAGCGAACGGG